CAUAUCACAUCAAUACACCUGUUGCCAUAUGAUCACCGAAGUUAAGCAACAUUAAGCCUGGUCAGUACCUAGAUGGGUGUUCACUUGGGAAUACCAGAUGCUGUAAG